GCUGGACCUCUCGGGGUUACAGCCUUGCUGAAUUAUUCACCCUUGUCUUUUGCGUACUUCUUGUUUCCUUGGUGGGUUCGCCCACCACUAGGACAAACAUAAACCUUUUGUAAUUGCAAUCAGCGUCAGUAACAAAUUAAUAAUUACAACUUUCAACAACGGAUCUCUUGGUUCUGGCAUCGAUGAAGAACGCAGCGAAAUGCGAUAAGUAGUGUGAAUUGCAGAAUUCAGUGAAUCAUCGAAUCUUUGAACGCACAUUGCGCCCUUUGGUAUUCCAAAGGGCAUGCCUGUUCGAGCGUCAUUUGUACCCUCAAGCUUUGCUUGGUGUUGGGCGUCUUGUCUCUAGCUUUGCUGGAGACUCGCCUUAAAGUAAUUGGCAGCCGGCCUACUGGUUUCGGAGCGCAGCACAAGUCGCACUCUCUAUCAGCAAAGGUCUAGCAUCCAUUAAGCCUUUUUUUCAACUUUUGACCUCGGAUCAGGUAGGGAUACCCGCUGAACUUAAGCAUAUC
rnacentral:misc_RNA from 1 species